rnacentral:rRNA from 1 species
CAGCCGCCGCGGGAAUACGUAGGGUGCAAGCGUUAAUCGGAAUUACUGGGCGUAAAGCGUGCGCAGGCGGUUUUGUAAGACAGAGGUGAAAUCCCCGGGCUCAACCUGGGAACUGCCUUUGUGACUGCAAGGCUAGAGUACGGCAGAGGGGGAUGGAAUUCCGCGUGUAGCAGUGAAAUGCGUAGAUAUGCGGAGGAACACCGAUGGCGAAGGCAAUCCCCUGGGCCUGUACUGACGCUCAUGCACAAAAGCGUGGGGAGCAAACAGGAUUAGAUACCCCUGUAGUCCCUGUCUCUUAUAC